CAGCCGCCGCGGUAAUACCGGCGGCCCGAGUGGCGGUCACUAUUAUUGGGCUUAAAGCGUCCGUAGCCGGGUUGGGAAGUCCUCCGGGAAAUCUGGCCGCUUAACGGUCAGAAUGCCGGAGGAUACUCCCAGCCUAGGGACCGGGAGAGGCCGAGGGGAUUCCCGGAGUAGGGGUGAAAUCCUAUAAUCCCGGGAGGACCACCUGUGGCGAAGGCGCUCGGCUGGAACGCGUCCGACGGUGAGGGACGAAGGCCAGGGGAGCAAACCGGAUUAGAUACCCGGGUAGUCCUGGCUGUAAACGAUGCGGACUUUGUGUCGGACAAGCUAUGAGCUUGUCCGGUGCCGGAGGGAAACCGUUAAGUCCGCCGCCUGGGGAGUACGGCCGCAAGGCUGAAACUUAAAGGAAUUGGCGGG
rnacentral:rRNA from 1 species